rnacentral:rRNA from 1 species
AGGACGAACGCUGGCGGCGUGCUUAACACAUGCAAGUCGAGCGGAAAGGCCCUUCGGGGUACUCGAGCGGCGAACGGGUGAGUAACACGUGAGCAAUCUGCCCUUAGCUUCGGGAUAGCCCCGGGAAACCGGGAUUAAUACCGAAUAUGACCUUGGCCGACAUCGGCCUUGGUGGAAAGUUUUUCGGCUAGGGAUGAACUCGCGGCCUAUCAGCUUGUUGGUGGGGUAAUGGCCUACCAAGGCGACGACGGGUAGCCGGCCUGAGAGGGCGACCGGCCACACUGGGACUGAGACACGGCCCAGACUCCUACGGGAGGCAGCAGUGGGGAAUAUUGGACAAUGGGGGGCAACCCUGAUCCAGCCAUGCCGCGUGAGUGAUGAAGGCCUUCGGGUUGUAAAGCCCUUUUGGCGGGGACGAUGAUGACGGUACCCGCAGAAUAACGCCCCGGCUAACUUCGUGCCAGCAGCCGC